UUGGCUAAGAUCAAGUGUAGUAUCUGUUCUUAUCAGUUUAAUAUCUGAUACGUGGGUCAUCGAUCCACUAUGAUAUUAAAUUAAUUUAUCGUGGGGGAGGGUCCGCAACAAUGGCUUGCCAUUGGGGCCCUCACGCGUCGCCUGUGCGUUGCACUACUGCACGGGCCUGGCGCACCCCGACCAAUCCAAAGUCUAAGCAUUAUUAAGGCCCGAUUAACUGACCAUAUUCAGUGACCUGGCGCACCCCGACCAAUCCUAAAGUCUAAUCACCAUUGGGGCCCUCGUGCGUCGCCUGUGUGUUGCACAACCGCACGGUCAUGUCGCACCCCGACCAAUCCUAACGUCUAAGCAUUUAUGAAGGGUCGAUUAAGUGACCAUAUUCAAGUGAUGUAUAGAUUUGAUCACCGCUUUUGUGCGAUUUGUUGGUAAAGUCGUGGCACGCAGAAGGCUUGCAAGGAAGAUUAGAUGUAGGAUGGGGAAUAUGCUUUGGAUUGUUGCUGUUCCGUCCGGUAUUGCGUUUGAUGUUUGCUCCGAUGUUCGAUACCGAUUGCUUCAGCGCUCCGUUGCGCAUCCUGCGCCAGGAGAAGAGCAUGAGCGAUGUCUGGAAUGUGUGUCACAGCUUAAAGCAUGACUUGAAUCCUAAAUUUUCAGGGGUUUGACAUGUUGUUGACAGAUAGUAAGUCCGCCGACGAGGCUGAAGGGGAGAUUUCCGAGCUGGGGGAUGAAGCCGGGUCUGGUCUCGUAUGAUUGCACGGAAGAUGGAAGAUGUCUACUGUAAGAGUCGCGGGAGGGAGAGGGCUUAUGAGGUGGUCGAUAAAAUGCGGGCGGACCCUGUGUAUCACAGCUUGAAGCAUGAUCUUAACCUUAAUCUUUAGAUGUUUGACAUAUUGUUGUCGGAUUGACAGUACGCCGUUGCCUAGGGUUUCUUCCAGGAGAUGUUGGAGCUUGGGGGUGAAUCUGGAUCUGGCCUCGUACGAUUUAGUCGCGGGACGGAGAAGGCACACGAGUUAGUCGAUAAAAUGCGUGAAUAAGAUACAUGCCCGGAUGUAAUCACACAGACUGACCGAUAAAGCUAGAGAUGUUCUGAAGGAGAUGAGAGAGAGAAAGAGAGGAUGCCACCAUGACGUUGCCGUGCUCUGCAUUGUAAAAGGGCGCAUGGCUUUGCUUUGAUUGAUGUGAUGGUGGAGAGGCAAUUGCUUCCAAAUGCCAUGAGCUAUAAUCUGUUCUUCAUGUACUGUUAGGCUAUGAUCAUAGAUGAUGGACGGCUGUUUGUCGAACAUUGUGUUUCAUGUUUCUCAUAUGGUUGUUCUGACCGCAGGAGAAUGCCAUGCCGCAGAAAGGUUUGGCAUCGUUCAUACUGGUUUUCCAUGUAUUGUUUGAUCUGAUUUGUGAUGCAGGAAUAAUUGAUGAGGCCAAGCAAUGUUUCAUUUUAGAAGGAUCAAGAUUCUGAUGGAACCAGCAAAUAAGCAGCAGUCUCUUUGGAACAGUAGAUGAAUCACUCGAAGAAGUAACAUCAUCCUUAUUGCUGCACCCUUGUUGAUGCAACUCUUGAUGAUGAAUCAAUUGAGGAAUGACUUGCAAGGAGCAAAAAGGCCUUCAUCAUGAAUCUUUGGUGUCAAGAGUCAUCCUUCGAACGUAGCCCACCAUUUCGGACACGAGUUGGCGAAGCAAGCGUGGCUAAAAAGCUUGGAGCCGAGCCGAUUGACUUGUGAGUGGCCGGCUUGGUGGUUCGCAGAACACGAGCCCUCCCCACCAACCCACCACGUGCGCAACAGCUGCCGGCCCCCAAAGACUUUGACUCAGCGUUUUACCUAAAAGUCAAUGGAAUAUACUGCUUUUUCUCAUAAUUCUUGUGCAAGUUA